CUUAAAGGCCAUACCACCCUGAACGCGCCCGAUCUCAUCUGAUCUCGGAAGCUAUGCAGGGUUGGGCCUAGUUAGUACUUGGAUGGGAGAGAUCUACAAUGUAAAGGAGCACAUACAGGA
rnacentral:rRNA from 1 species